GAUGAACGCUGGCGGCGUGCCUAAUACAUGCAAGUCGAGCGAACGGACGAGAAGCUUGCUUCUCUGAUGUUAGCGGCGGACGGGUGAGUAACACGUGGAUAACCUACCUAUAAGACUGGGAUAACUUCGGGAAACCGUAGCUAAUACCGGAUAAUAUUUUGAACCGCAUGGUUCAAAAGUGAAAGACGGUCUUGCUGUCACUUAUAGAUGGAUCCGCGCUGCAUUAGCUAGUUGGUAAGGUAACGGCUUACCAAGGCAACGAUGCAUAGCCGACCUGAGAGGGUGAUCGGCCACACUGGGACUGAGACACGGUCCAGACUCCUACGGGAGGCAGCAGUAGGGAAUCUUCCGCAAUGGGCGAAAGCCUGACGGAGCAACGCCGCGUGAGUGAUGAAGGUCUUCGGAUCGUAAAACUCUGUUAUUAGGGAAGAACAUAUGUGUAAGUAACUGUGCACAUCUUGACGGUACCUAAUCAGAAAGCCACGGCUAACUACGUGCCAGCAGCCGCGGUAAUACGUAGGUGGCAAGCGUUAUCCGGAAUUAUUGGGCGUAAAGCGCGCGUAGGCGGUUUUUUAAGUCUGAUGUGAAAGCCCACGGCUCAACCGUGGAGGGUCAUUGGAAACUGGAAAACUUGAGUGCAGAAGAGGAAAGUGGAAUUCCAUGUGUAGCGGUGAAAUGCGCAGAGAUAUGGAGGAACACCAGUGGCGAAGGCGACUUUCUGGUCUGUAACUGACGCUGAUGUGCGAAAGCGUGGGGAUCAAACAGGAUUAGAUACCCUAGUAGUCCACGCCGUAAACGAUGAGUGCUAAGUGUUAGGGGGUUUCCGCCCCUUAGUGCUGCAGCUAACGCAUUAAGCACUCCGCCUGGGGAGUACGACCGCAAGGUUGAAACUCAAAGGAAUUGACGGGGACCCGCACAAGCGGUGGAGCAUGUGGUUUAAUUCGAAGCAACGCGAAGAACCUUACCAAAUCUUGACAUCCUUUGACAACUCUAGAGAUAGAGCCUUCCCCUUCGGGGGACAAAGUGACAGGUGGUGCAUGGUUGUCGUCAGCUCGUGUCGUGAGAUGUUGGGUUAAGUCCCGCAACGAGCGCAACCCUUAAGCUUAGCUGCCAUCAUUAAGUUGGGCACUCUAAGUUGACUGCCGGUGACAAACCGGAGGAAGGUGGGGAUGACGUCAAAUCAUCAUGCCCCUUAUGAUUUGGGCUACACACGUGCUACAAUGGACAAUACAAAGGGCAGCGAAACCGCGAGGUCAAGCAAAUCCCAUAAAGUUGUUCUCAGUUCGGAUUGUAGUCUGCAACUCGACUACAUGAAGCUGGAAUCGCUAGUAAUCGUAGAUCAGCAUGCUACGGUGAAUACGUUCCCGGGUCU
rnacentral:rRNA from 1 species